UGAGGAGGCUUUCUUAUGGCUAUAUGAGUAGAUGGUGCUAGAAAAGAGGACCACACAAAGAUGUGUACACAUGGGGAACCUAUGAAGGGGCUGUGAGACAGGCUUACAAGCAGGCCAAGCUAAGAAAUGUUCUAGAGGGUUGCAGCAAUGGGUUUGAGUAAGCAGCUGUCUGAUACUUGUUAUAGAGUCCCUGGACUGAGAUGAUAGGGUGGCUGGUGUCUCCUACUAACUUACUGAAGAAAGGAAAACUUCCUGGCAUGAGGGUUGAAGUACUAGUGAGCCUGGAAUAAGGCUGAAUUACCCAGUAUGAGAUUGUUGGAUGAUUAUUGGACUUCUGCAUUAGCGCUUGCUAAAUGAAAGGCUACCUCCCUUCUGGAAAUAACACUGGAAUUGGUCUAUCCAGGAGUGGUAGACUAAGGAGCAUGGAGAAAAAGGACAGUUGGAGGAAACAGCAAGCUGAUCAGAGUGGGAAUGCAAAGACAAACUCGUGUUUGGAAGCCACAGGAGGUUUUGAACAGCCAGAGUCUAAAGUCUCUGCUGGGUAACCUCAGAGAAGGAAGCUGAGAGAAGGAACACUGAAGGACCUGUGAUUUGGCUGGAGAGGCAGCAAAAGAAAGGGCUAGACAAGCGGCUUGAAGAGUGAAGGAGUGUAAGCUGGUAACUUUCAGGAAUUUGUGCUAGAUCCACCAUACACAAUGACUGGCAAGAAAGAUUUCAAGAACAUUCUAUGCAUCAGAGUAGCAAAAACAUCUGACACUGCUUGCAGCCCUGGGAUGUGGGGAAGGAGGAAGUCUGCAAUAAUUCAUCUGUGGGCAGGGCCAGCUCCAGCUUUUUUGCUGCCCCAAGCGGCGAAGCAGUUUAA